CUUUUCUUUGAGAAGACUAAGUCAGCAGACCAAUAGAUCUGUUGGGGCUGGAUCACCUGGAAGACAGCUGGUAUGCUCCUCACUGGAAACAGAUUCACACUGCAGAGAACCUGUAAUCAGCAGGAGUGUGCUGCAUCCAGAUCUGCGCAAAGCCUGUCAAAGUCCUCCCACAUCUAUGGUCAUCCAGUCAUCUCCAGACUAGAAGCUCCAGGAUGGGAGAAUAGUCAAGUAUCAUGCCCAGAAAAAGGACUGAGAAGGGGCUACUCAGACAUCUGUCACAUGAACCAAGAGAUUGGCAAAAGGAAGAGAACACAUUGGG